rnacentral:rRNA from 1 species
GAUGAACGCUGGCGGCGUGCUUAACACAUGCAAGUCGAACGAUGAAAGCGGGAGCUGGCUCCUCCUGGAUUAGUGGCGAACGGGUGAGUACCACGGAAGCAAUUUGCCCGAACUCUGGGAUAGGCGUUGGAAACGACGUCUAAUACCGGAUACGACGCGCGAAGGCAUCUUCUGCGCGUGGAAAGAACUUCGGUUCGGGAUGAGCUCGCGGCCUAUCAGCUAGUUGGUGAGGUAACGGCCCACCAAGGCGACGACGGGUAGCCGGCCUGAGAGGGUGACCGGCCACACUGGGACUGAGACACGGCCCAGACUCCUACGGGAGGCAGCAGUGGGGAAUAUUGCACAAUGGGCGCAAGCCUGAUGCAGCAACGCCGCGUGAGGGACGACGGCCUUCGGGUUGUAAACCUCUUUUAGUAGGGAAGAAGCGAAAGUGACGGUACCUGCAGAAAAAGCACCGGCUAACUACGUGCCAGCAGCCGCCGUAAAAC